GCCAGGGUGGCAUAGUGGUCAGCGCAUCUGCCUAGUGAGCACGAGACCUGGGUUCAAGUCCCGGCCUUGGUA